CUCCAUCAUCAUGCUCAGCUUCACUAAUCUCUGAUUUGUUCUUCUUCAGUUGUGGGUGAUAAACACCUUUCCUUUGCUUCUCUAUAUGGAUGAUUCCAACUUGCAUGAGUGAGUUUGCUUCUUGUGGAAAUCACCAUCUCGCUGAGAUCUUGUUGUGAUUCCUUCUUCAUUUGUGUUUCGGGGAAAUAUUUAGUACGCUUUCAUUGCUUUUUGGUGCUAAAACUCUGUGUCUCGUCUUUUGAAACUUGACUCUUUCUUAUUGUAAGUUAGCUGCUUUUAUAAACUUAUAUCUUGACCUGUAUUUUAAGCUUGACCCUUUUUUUCUUCUCCAUGUGUAGCUAUUUAGACCCGUUGAUAGUUGAAGAGGAACAAAAAACUCAGCUGCUGCUUGAAUUUGAUCUGACUUGGUGACCCCGAUCUACUGAGAUUUCCUUUUUGUUGGCUGGUGUAGAUAGGAAAACUAGAAUUUUCACUUUUUUGCUCCGCUUUCCUAUUUGUAUAUAUAUUGUUAGUGAAAAAAUUUGAUGUAGCCUCUCAGUCCUGUUAGCAUUUUCUACUCUUAACUUCAAAUAAGGGC
rnacentral:lncRNA from 1 species